AUAUUCUCAACCAUUGGCUUGGGUUUUUUCCCUUGCUGAUCGUGUUGGAUUUGAGGGUGUUGUGUCGGUCCACUUCAAAUGAUUUAUUGUUUGAAGACGGUCGACUCCCUUUAAAAGCAUUUGUGGGUUUGACCUUUGUGGAUAUGCCUCGAUUUGAUAAUUAUCAAGAUGUCGUCGCAGUGAAGCAAUAGACCUGCUUUCUAACCGUCCCUGACAAGGACUGCUCCAUUUCUUUGUGAGCAACAAGAGUCGCUGCCCUUUGGGCUUGACUUGUAAAAUUU
rnacentral:misc_RNA from 1 species